UUUUUGAAUCCUACAGGGGAGUUUCUUGUUUUCCCUUGUUUCCUAUGGGGGAUUUUCUUGGUUUUCCUAUGGUUUGCAUGCAGAGGGGGUGGGACUCAGUUUCCCUAGGUGCUACGGGUUUAACGAGGUGAUGGGAGGGGGAGUUUGUUGCUACAGAGAACCAGCGAGGGAACUUGGGACCCCAGCCACUGUCAUGGAGAAUGGAGACCCCAGUGACGGGCGACCUGGGGACCCGGAGCCCAGCUCGGGAGUCCCAGCCGCAUCUGGCCAGCGGGAGGACA